GUUUCCCUGUAAAUAAACAAAAAUUAGCAAAAUUUGAUUACAUGUAUGUAGUUACAAAAUAUUACAAACGUUAAGUAAAUAAUUCAAUCCAUUAUUAUUUCGGAAAUGACGUUACAGCUCACAGGCAUAUAUAACGGAAACAAGUUGAUAACUGAGUCCAUCGCAGUUAAUGACAGAAGGAGGAUGAUUGUGUUCUCCGGUGAUUCUAGCUACUGCUCCUUGUGUCAAGUUCUCAGUUUGGCGGGACAUUUGGUUUUGUAAUAUGAAACGCAUUUCCAAGACGACGAAUCCGGU